rnacentral:misc_RNA from 1 species
GUGCGAUAAGUAAUGUGAAUUGCAGAAUUCCGUGAGUCAUCGAAUCUUUGAACGCAAAUUGCACUUCCUGGUAUUCCGGGAAGUAUGCCUGUUUGAGGGUCAGUUUAAUUAAAUAUCGUGGUGUUGCUUUUUUGUGACGCUUCGGAAUUGGGUCAUCUUGAUCCCCUGGGGUUAAGCGGCCUAAAAUUGAUGUUAUUUCUGUGCAUCUCAGACGUACAUAAGAAUUUUUUUUUAUCCGUCAGGGUUGCCAGGUUCUUAUUAGGUAUGAUCACAUGUUUCUUGUGAAAUCCGUACCUAUAACGUAACUCAUAUUUUGACCUCAAAUCAGGUAGGAAAACCCGCUGAACUUAA